UUUGUAAUGAAUGACUGUAAUGAUUUAAUUUUGUUAUAAUCUGAUUCCGAUAGAUGUGUUUCUUGCAGGAGACAUAUGUCGGCUUGAAGUUUAUUCAAAUUAUUAAAAACUUUGACCUUCUUUGUCUGAGAACCAAAUCCACGAACGUUCCAGGUUACAAAAGUGAUAGAUGACAUGUUUUAGUGAUUAUGGCAGUUAUUGACUCAGGAAUGAAAGUGAAGUGUUCAGAAAAGCCAGGGAGUAAUGUCCUUAUCGCGAUAUAGUUGUCCAUCUAUGUAUAAUUUGUCCACUGAAAUGACUGCCUUUUUUCCUUCAUUUAUUUUCUGUUUUCGGAUUGGGAAGAGUUGUUUCCAGCAUUCGAGAAUGACCUUUGGAUAUUGAUCAUUGAGUCCAUAGUUUGUGCCUUUGAGUUGUUUGCCUUGCCUCUGAACCAGUUCUUUGUGUUUAUAGUGUUUGAAUUUUGCAAUGAUCGCUCGUGGUCGGUUGUUAUUGUUUUUAGAUCUUAUACGUGAACUCGGUGAAAGGUGAUGCUCUGUGCUGUUUCUGCCGGUAAUUUGAGUUGUUUUAUCAUGAAAUCCUUUACUGAUUUUUCGGGGCCAUCUGGAGUUUGUUCCGGGAUGCCUGUGAAAACUAAAUUGUCCUUCAUGCUGUGCGAUUGCAAGUCCAAAAUUUUUUCUUUCAUGGUUUUGUUUUCGGCGACAACGGAAGUGAGUUGAAUGAUUCAGAAUGUUGGAGGACAACAGUUUUCUACAACAGAUUUUACCCAAAUUUAUUGGCUCACUGUCCUGUUGGAACAUUUCUCUAAAUUCAGAUGUCUGGCUGACUGGAACUGGACUUUUUUGCCCCAACAGUUUAUCUAUUCACUCCUCACCUGCAUCAUUGAGCUCUGGGAGCCUGGUUGUCCUUCACUGGACCAUUUUUGGGAGGUUUUACCACUAUUUGAAGCCUCAAAUCAGGACAAUGUGGUGGUUGUUGUGGAUGAUGGCAAAUUUAUCAAUGAAGCAAGCGUUCAGCAUCCAGGGCCUUCGAUUUUCGAGUAUUUAUGGCCAAAACUGCUAUGUUGCUUUUUCGCGCAACAAUCCAACAAUCCGAACAAUCAACAUCUGAACCAUUCUGUACCUCAAGCGGAGACUGGGUUCAAUUUUGGAGGAGAUUAUCAAGAAACUAAACUCAGCCAGAGAUGCAGCAUGUGGUGUAUGUCCAUGAUAGAGGGAAGAGAGACUACAGUGAGCUUCUCAGCUGUCCUAACUAUCCUCUGCAGGGCACCUGAGCGGCUCCAGUGCUCAGUGUGGUGGUGCUGGAGAUGCUUUUUUCCAA